AGCCCAGCUUGCUGGGUGGAUUAGUGGCGAACGGGUGAGUAACACGUGAGUAACCUACCCUUGACUCUGGGAUAAGCCUGGGAAACUGGGUCUAAUACCGGAUAGGAACGUCCACCGCAUGGUGGUUGUUGGAAAGAUUUAUCGGUCAUGGAUGGACUCGCGGCCUAUCAGCUUGUUGGUGAGGUAAUGGCUCACCAAGGCGACGACGGGUAGCCGGCCUGAGAGGGUGACCGGCCACACUGGGACUGAGACACGGCCCAGACUCCUACGGGAGGCAGCAGUGGGGAAUAUUGCACAAUGGGCGAAAGCCUGAUGCAGCGACGCCGCGUGAGGGAUGACGGCCUUCGGGUUGUAAACCUCUUUCAGUAGGGAAGAAGCGAAAGUGACGGUACCUGCAGAAGAAGCACCGGCUAACUACGUGCCAGCAGCCGCGGUAAUACGUAGGGUGCGAGCGUUAUCCGGAAUUAUUGGGCGUAAAGAGCUCGUAGGCGGUUUGUCGCGUCUGUCGUGAAAGUCCGGGGCUUAACCCCGGAUCUGCGGUGGGUACGGGCAGACUAGAGUGCAGUAGGGGAGACUGGAAUUCCUGGUGUAGCGGUGGAAUGCGCAGAUAUCAGGAGGAACACCGAUGGCGAAGGCAGGUCUCUGGGCUGUAACUGACGCUGAGGAGCGAAAGCAUGGGGAGCGAACAGGAUUAGAUACCCUGGUAGUCCAUGCCGUAAACGUUGGGCACUAGGUGUGGGGACCAUUCCACGGUUUCCGCGCCGCAGCUAACGCAUUAAGUGCCCCGCCUGGGGAGUACGGCCGCAAGGCUAAAACUCAAAGGAAUUGACGGGGGCCCGCACAAGCGGCGGAGCAUGCGGAUUAAUUCGAUGCAACGCGAAGAACCUUACCAAGGCUUGACAUGUUCUCGAUCGCCGUAGAGAUACGGUUUCCCCUUUGGGGCGGGAUCACAGGUGGUGCAUGGUUGUCGUCAGCUCGUGUCGUGAGAUGUUGGGUUAAGUCCCGCAACGAGCGCAACCCUCGUUCCAUGUUGCCAGCACGUAAUGGUGGGGACUCAUGGGAGACUGCCGGGGUCAACUCGGAGGAAGGUGGGGACGACGUCAAAUCAUCAUGCCCCUUAUGUCUUGGGCUUCACGCAUGCUACAAUGGCCGGUACAAUGGGUUGCGAUACUGUGAGGUGGAGCUAAUCCCAAAAAGCCGGUCUCAGUUCGGAUUGGGGUCUGCAACUCGACCCCAUGAAGUCGGAGUCGCUAGUAAUCGCAGAUCAGC
rnacentral:rRNA from 2 species